rnacentral:rRNA from 1 species
AUGUCAACUGCCACUGCUCCAGGAGUGUCCUUUGCUAAAUCCGGGGCUGGUUCCCGGGCCGUUGCUCCGGCGAUCAGGAGCGCUUCCUUCGUUGGUUACACCAAGCAAACACCAAACUUGUCAGGCCUAAGGAUGUCAAACACGUUCAGGGUGUCUGCCACGGCCGUGCACAAGGUGAAGCUCAUAGGCCCGGACGGAGAAGAGCACGAGUUUGAGGCCCCUGAAGACACCUACAUUCUCGAGGCAGCUGAAACUGCCGGAGUGGAGCUGCCAUUCUCUUGCCGCGCCGGAUCGUGCUCCACAUGCGCGGGCAAGAUGACGACCGGGGAGGUCGAUCAGUCGGAGGGCUCCUUCCUCGAUGAGAGCCAGAUGGGUGAGGGAUACCUUCUGACCUGCAUUUCAUACCCCAAGGCGGAUUGCGUCAUUCAAACCCACCAAGAGGAGGAACUCUACUAA